rnacentral:rRNA from 1 species
GACGUAGGGCGCGAGCGUUGUCCGGAUUUAUUGGGCGUAAAGAGCUCGUAGGCGGCUUGUUGCGUCGACCGUGAAAACCCGUGGCUCAACUGCGGGCUUGCGGUCGAUACGGGCGGGCUAGAGUUCGGUAGGGGAGACUGGAAUUCCUGGUGUAGCGGUGAAAUGCGCAGAUAUCAGGAGGAACACCGGUGGCGAAGGCGGGUCUCUGGGCCGAUACUGACGCUGAGGAGCGAAAGCGUGGGGAGCGAACAGG